rnacentral:rRNA from 1 species
UAGGGAAUCUUCCACAAUGGACGCAAGUCUGAUGGAGCAACGCCGCGUGAGUGAAGAAGGUUUUCGGACCGUAAAGCUCUGUUGUUGGUGAAGAAGGAUAGAGGUAGUAACUGGCCUUUAUUUGACGGUAAUCAACCAGAAAGUCACGGCUAACUACGUGCCAGCAGCCGCGGUAAUACGUAGGUGGCAAGCGUUGUCCGGAUUUAUUGGGCGUAAAGCGAGCGCAGGCGGAAGAAUAAGUCUGAUGUGAAAGCCCUCGGCUUAACCGAGGAAUUGCAUCGGAAACUGUUUUUCUUGAGUGCAGAAGAGGAGAGUAGAACUCCAUGUGUAGCGGUGGAAUGCGUAGAUAUAUGGAAGAAUACCAGUGGCGAAGGCGGCUCUCUGGUCUGCAACUGACGCUGAGGCUCGAAAGCAUGGGUAGCGAACAGGAUUAGAUACCCUGGUAGUCCAUGCCGUAAACGAUGAGUGCUAAGUGUUGGGAGGCUUCCGCUUCUCAGUGCUGCAGCUAACGCAUUAAGCACUCCGCCUGGGGGAGUACGACCGCAAGGUUGAAAC